rnacentral:rRNA from 1 species
UGCAAGUCGUGGGGCAGCAGGUGUAGCAAUACAUGCUGGCGACCGGCAAACGGGUGCGGAACACGUACGCAACCUUCCUUUAACUGGAGAAUAGCCCCUCGAAAGAGGGAUUAAUAAUCCGUAACAUAUUGAUAAGGCAUCUUAUUAAUAUUAUAGCUCCGGCGGUUAAAGAUGGGCGUGCGCCUGAUUAGGUAGUUGGCGGGGUAACGGCCCACCAAGCCUUCGAUCAGUAACUGGUGUGAGAGCACGACCAGUCACACGGGCACUGAGACACGGGCCCGACUCCUACGGGAGGCAGCAGUAAGGAAUAUUGGUCAAUGGACGCAAGUCUGAACCAGCCAUGCCGCGUGGAGGAUUAAGGCCCUCUGGGUUGUAAACUCCUUUUAUCUGGGAAGAAAUGCUUUGAUUCUUCGAAGCUUGACGGUACCAGAGGAAUAAGCACCGGCUAACUCCGUGCCAGCAGCCGCGGUAAUACGGAGGGUGCAAGCGUUAUCCGGAUUCACUGGGUUUAAAGGGUGCGUAGGCGGGUAAGUAAGUCCGUGGUGAAAUCUCUGAGCUUAACUCAGAAACUGCCGUGGAUACUAUUUGCCUUGAAUAUUGUGGAGGUGAGCGGAAUAUGUCAUGUAGCGGUGAAAUGCUUAGAUAUGACAUAGAACACCAAUUGCGAAGGCAGCUCACUACACAAUUAUUGACGCUGAGGCACGAAAGCGUGGGGAUCAAACAGGAUUAGAUACCCUGGUAGUCCACGCCCUAAACGAUGAUUACUCGACAUCAGCGAUACACUGUUGGUGUCUGAGCGA